CAAAUGCCUCACGUACAUUAGACGACCCCUAGACAACUAAAGUCUGUCACACUCUUUCAUUUAACAGCAAUCUGUGCUAAGUCAUGGGUUUUUAAUUUCAAAGGUGUACACAUCUUAGGACUCUGAGCCUUAUAAUGUGCGAAUCAUGCAGCUUCACACAUUUGUAAGACUCCAACAAGAUUCUUCUGAGAUUUUAAAAAAAAAUCUUAGCCUUUCUCAUCCUGUCGGAAAUUCACACACCGGUGUGCAGUUGUCGGGCAAAGAAAAACGUGUCUAUUGGCUGUUGACAGGAUUAUAAAUUGCGUCACUGACCAUCGCAAGCCUUUUGAGCCAAGACUGAAGACUUACAAUAAAUAUUAAAACAUGUCUGAUAUUGUCAGGACGGUCAAGACAAGAAAAAGGACUCAUGAACUCAGUCUUGAAACGGUCUCAUAAUCGUGAAUCGUGACGGGGACUGAGAUGCCUGUGGCUGUGCCUGGUGGGUUUGGAAACACAAUGGAGCCACAGCCACAAUGCGGGACAGAUCCUGGUUCGAAACAAUACCAUCAAAAAUGAGAACUCUGCAUUGUUUCUUCUGAGCUACAGUAUGUCUAGUUGGGUUUCCCAAAAAGGCUAUUUGGAGACUCCAAAACGACUGUUCAGUAACAAAAAUGAUGAUAUGGGUCUUUAGGGGUUAAGUCCCUGCAGCUGAGAAGCAUCCCCCCACUCACUGCAACAAAGGAUGUGUUAAUAUCCAACACGUUUUCGGUGUUACUACCUUUCUGUCACUUUAAACACAUUUUGUCUCAGUCAGUAGUUUUUGGUUUACAAAGUAGGCUAUACAAUUCAUGUGUUACAACAGGAGACUUAAAAAAAAAAACAAAAAAAAAAAACACAGACUGUUGAAAGUAACACAAAAUGUGUUGUCCCGAAUUAGACGUGAAGGUGCGUUAAAGAUGACACGUCGCGUGUGGUUUUUAACACAUCUGCUUCGAGAGUGCCACGGCCCGACGCUCCGGCCGCCGUGACCAGAAAGUUUUAAAUUUGUCUCCUCGGAUCGCGAGACCUUUUUGACGUGCGGUUGGAAUUGCGCUCGAUUGUUUCGUUUCAUCGCAAAACUUCCAGCGGUAUUUCAUAUGGAUCUUUUUCACUAACACCUCCAUCUUGUCUCUUUGCCUUACGGUCCCGCUUUGGAGAGUGAACGAAGAGCGGCAGUGUAGCAUAAUGGGUAAGGAGUUGGUCAGCCACAAUGCGGGACAGAUCCUGGUUCGAAACAAUACCAUCAAAAAUGAGAACUCUGCAUUGUUUCUUCUGAGCUACAGUAUGUCUAGUUGGGUUUCCAAAAAAGGCUAUUUGGAGACUCCAAAACGACUGUUCAGUAACAAAAAUGAUGAUAUGGGUCUUUAGGGGUUAAGUCCCUGCAGCUGAGAAGCAUCCCCCCACUCACUGCAACAAAGGAUAUGUUAAUAUCCAACACGUUUUCUGUGUUACUACCUUUCUGUCACUUUAAACACAUUUUGUCUCAGUCAGUAGUUUUUGGUUUACAAAGUAGGCUAUACAAUUCAUGUUACAACAGGAGACUUAAAAAAAAAAAUAAAAAAAAAACUGUUGAAAGUAACACAAAAUGUGUUGUCCCGAAUUAGACGUGGAGGUGCGUUAAAGAUGACAUAUCGCGUGUGGUUUUUAACACAUCUGCUUCGAGUGUGCCACGGCCCGACGCUCCGGCCGCCGUUACCAGAAAGUUUUAAAUUUGUCUCCUCGGAUCGCGAGACCUUUGGAGAGUGAAUGAAGGGCGGUAGUAUAGUAUAAUGGGUAAGGAGUUGGUCUUGUAACUUAUGGGUCGCAGAUUUGAGUCCCCACUAGGACACCGCCGUUGUACCCCUUGAGCAAGGUACUUAACCUGCAUUGCUCCAGUAUAUAUCCAGCUGUAUAAAUGGAUUCAGAAAUGCUACGUAAAAGGUUACGUAAGUCGCUCUGGGCAAGAGCGUCUGCUAAAUGCCUGUAAUGUAACAAGACAUUGCUGAUUCAUUCCUACUUUCUCAAACAUCAGACUCUGAAUGCUCUGGCUCUUUAAAAAUUCCCUUUGGCCUCACGGUGUUCUCACUGUGGUUUCCCUAAUCUGAUUGUGUGCAUCUGAUUGUGUCGUCGUUUCUGCCGUCCCCCGCGAUUCAGAUAAGCGUAUCUUAACUUGAUUUGUUUCUGCUGUUGUUAGUUAGAGAACAUAGUUGUGUGUAAUUUAGGUAAUCUUUUUUAAAACUUGUCUCAACUGUUGCUAGUCAGCAAGCUUAGUUGUACGUUAGCUGAGAAUUUCUGUAGUUGACUUGCUGUUGUUAGUUAGUUAAAGGCGUUAGUGAAACUGUGUGUGGGGGUUGGUGUUUAACUGCCCCGUAUUGUUGAGCUAAUUUCGAGUAGGUUCACCUGGUGCUUAUCUGCCCCAAUGAAGCUAAUGCAAGCACGUAAUUGUCACCCGUUAUUUAUAGCUCCAGCGGACGUGAUCUAUACGGUUUAUAUCGGUCACUGUUUCAUGCCUUCAAGGCAGCAGUUUAGUGCAAUGGGUGGGGAAUUUUGCUUGUAACCAAAAGUUUGCAGAUUCCCAGGUAGGGCACUGCCGUUGCAGUACCUUGAGGAAGGUACUUGACCUGAAUUGCUCCAGUAUAUAUCCAGUUGUAUAAACGGAUACCAUGUUAAAGUUGUGUAAGUCGCUCUUGAUAAAAGUGUCUGCUAAAUGCCAGUAACGUACCACUUAAAUUCAGUAUCAGAUUAAAGGCCUUUACAAGGGGUGAUUAUGCUGAAAUAAUGCGAACUGCCAUCACUGCACAAACAGAAGCAUUUCAACUGUGUCACGGUCAUUUCUCAUACCUGAAACUGAGGGUUUUUCAUAGUGAAGGAGUGAAGCAUGUGUGCAGUCUUUAAUUAUUUACUGCUUGUUUUGCUUUGAUGGUACUGAGUAAGUUCUGACACAGUUGAAUUCAUACGAGUGGAAUGGCUGUACUGAAUGACAGCAAUAUUUCAGGUGUCUUGUGGAAACUUUUGAGCACUGUGUGCUUUUUUUGUUUUUGUUUUAUUUUAUUUUAUUGGCGCAGUCGUGUGUUUCAGCAGAUCCUGUAAGGAGGUGAAAGGGAGGGGUAAUUCAGAUUCAGAUUGAGACAACGUUAUUGAUCCCAAGAAGGACAAUUCAUUUGCAGUUUACCCAGUCCAUACACACAACUCCAAAACUCACAGACAAGGUGUCAUGCCCCCGUGUUUCGGUUGUCAUAUGGUUUCCCUUGUGUUCCGGUUAUUUCUGUUCCAUGUGCCUUGUUCCUCACCAUGUCUUUGCUUUUCCCCACAGGGUGGGUGUGAUCUUUCCCCAUGCACUCCCUAAUCACUUCCAGCCCUCAGCAAUUUUCACACUCGUUCAGGUCGCAUUCCUCACACCCUCCCUGAUUAAUUCCAAUCAGCACCAGACUAUAAAGCCACACUUUUUGUUUCUGUCUUUGCCAGAUUGUUGAUUUGUUGCCCAGUCACUCUUGAUAUCGUGUAUAUCCUAGCCUAGCACUAUUUUCUAUACCCCGUUUUCUCUGCACCUUCCUCGGUUUCCUCACCUCGCUCUGUUUCCUUGGCCACAGAUUGUUUGUUCAUGUACCUUGUUCAGUGUUUCCCUGUCUGUCGUGCCUACGUGUUGUCUGCGUUGCGUCUUGUUCCGUGUUCCCCUGUUCUCCCCAGUUACCUCCCCAGCUCCAACCAUCUCCAGCCCGUCCUUCGCCGGCCUCCCAGUCUCCAGCCCAGCUCCGCCACUGACACCGGAGAUAUUCCGUUCAGCGCCCAGCCGGAUUCCGGAUCCCGGACCCCACAGCCCCUGCUCCAAGCCUGCCUGGGUUCCUGCCACAGCCUGUUCAGCGCCAAGCCGGAUCCCGGACCUCUGCACCUACCCUCACGGUUCCUAGCCCAAGUCUGCCCUGAUUCCUACCGCCUCUGUCUGUACUCAAAAUAAACCCCUUUUUGUAUUCCAUCAA